AACGAACGCUGGCGGCAGGCCUAACACAUGCAAGUCGAACGCCGUAGCAAUACGGAGUGGCAGACGGGUGAGUAACGCGUGGGAACCUACCUUACGGUCGGGAAUAGCUCAGGGAAACUUGGGGUAAUACCGGAUACGCCCUUACGGGGAAAGAUUUAUCGCCGUUAGAUGGGCCCGCGUAGGAUUAGCUAGUUGGUGAGGUAAUGGCUCACCAAGGCGACGAUCCUUAGCUGGUCUGAGAGGAUGAUCAGCCACACUGGGACUGAGACACGGCCCAGACUCCUACGGGAGGCAGCAGUGGGGAAUAUUGGACAAUGGGCGCAAGCCUGAUCCAGCCAUGCCGCGUGAGUGACGAAGGCCUUAGGGUUGUAAAGCUCUUUUGGCGGGGAAGGAUAAUGACGGUACCCGCAGAAUAAGCUCCGGCUAACUUCGUGCCAGCAGCCGCGGUAAU
rnacentral:rRNA from 1 species